ACACGGUGUUUACCCGCUUGCUUAUACCGUCCAAAUUCACGGUAUAACUUAGUCGGGCUCGCUCUCGCUUGCGCACUCUUCCUCUCCAGGUGCUCUCUCUUCCUCUCAUCCCAGGUUCGUCUUCUCAACUUCUUCUUCUUUGUUUGAAUCACAGUUCGUCUUUUUAGUUUUCUUCUUCUGGGAUUCCGCCCCUCCCUCUAUUCUUCCCCCUCCUCCUAUUUUUCUUGCAAUUUUCUUUCAAUUGAUUGAACCUAGUUAUUAUUUUCUCUCUAAUUAUGCAAUUGAUUAUGUAAUUUUGUGUUUUAAUUAGAAUUUUUGAAUUUUAGGGUUUGCUAUUGCGGUCAAAUUUAGGGUUUAUUGUUGGUGUUGAAUUUUAAUUAGAAUUUUAAUGAUUGGGUAGAGUGGGAGUGUGCAAGUUCACUUACCUAAAUAAAACUUUGUCUCUGGCGCAACUCCUGUUUCACUCAUUGUCUCGCAGCCGCAACGCAACCAUACGGACAAUUGGAUAUGGAUGAAAGAAAGAUUUUGGCAUGCUUCUUGUUAACUUGUGGUACUUGAAUAUUGUGACUUGGUUGAUGAUGUGGUUCAUGAUGAAUCAUAAUUCAGCUAGAAGGCGGAAUCAGCAACUUGCACUUAGAAAUUGCACAUUUGUUAGGAGAAUGGUACAUUAAUGAAGAUGAAGAUGAAUGUGGUUCAUGAUGAUGUGGUUCUAGAAGGCGGAAUCGUACAUUUGUUAGGAAAUGAUGUGGUUCAUGAUGAUGAAUGAGCCUGAGCACAUUAAUGAAGAUGAAGAUGAAGAUGAGGGCGGAGACUAGUUCUCCCUUUUGUUGCUUGACGGUCCAGUAGUUCAAGUACCCAGAAAAGGAAGAGAGCUGCUAAUGAUAAUGAUCUUGCUGUGGCAUUUAAAGAAAUGCUUUCUGAAUCAGUUGAUAAGUUGGGUGAAGUUUUACAAGUUGCUUUUGGGAAAGGAGUGGAUCAAAAUCUUGAGAUUGUUUCAGAAUUGUCAAAGAUGAAUUUGUCUAUUGAGGAUCAAAUCAAGGCACUAAAUAUCCUUUUCAAAAAGCCACAAAAUGAGAGGACAUUCUUGUCUUUGGAUGGUGCAAUGAAAAACGCCUUUGUACUCAUGUUACUUGGACAAAGUAACCGCAAUUGACAUUUCAAACCAACAACAAUAUAUUUUGUUAAAAGCUGUAGCAUGCAUAUAUUUUGUUAAAAGUAGCAUGCAUAUAUUUUGGCUA